UGGGGAAUAUUGCACAAUGGGCGCAAGCCUGAUGCAGCAAUGCCGCGUGAGUGAAGACGGCCUUAGGGUCGUAAAGCUCUUUCGCCUGUGAAGAUAAUGACGGUAGCAGGUAAAGAAACCCCGGCUAACUCCGUGCCAGCAGCCGCGGUAAUACGGAGGGGGUUAGCGUUGUUCGGAAUUACUGGGCGUAAAGCGCACGUAGGCGGACCAGAAAGUUGGGGGUGAAAUCCCGGGGGCUCAACCCCGGAACUGCCUCCAAAACUAUUGGUCUAGAGUUCGAGAGAGGUGAGUGGAAUUCCAAGUGUAGAGGUGAAAUUCGUAGAUAUUUGGAGGAACACCAGUGGCGAAGGCGGCUCACUGGCUCGAUACUGACGCUGAGGUGCGAAAGUGUGGGGAGCAAACAGGAUUAGAUACCCUGGUAGUCCACACCGUAAAACGAUGAAUGCCAGUCGUCGGGUAGCAUGCUAUUCGGUGACACACCUAACGGAUUAAGCAUUCCGCC
rnacentral:rRNA from 1 species